rnacentral:rRNA from 1 species
GACGUAGGGCGCGAGCGUUGUCCGGAUUUAUUGGGCGUAAAGAGCUCGUAGGCGGCUUGUUGCGUCGACCGUGAAAACCCGGGGCUCAACUUCGGGCUUGCGGUCGAUACGGGCGGGCUAGAGUUCGGUAGGGGAGACUGGAAUUCCCGGUGUAGCGGUGAAAUGCGCAGAUAUCAGGAGGAACACCGGUGGCGAAGGCGGGUCUCUGGGCCGAUACUGACGCUGAGGAGCGAAAGCGUGGGGAGCGAACAGG